rnacentral:rRNA from 1 species
UACAGAGGGGGCAAGCGUUGUUCGGAAUUACUGGGCGUAAAGGGCGCGUAGGCGGCCUGUUAAGUCGAACGUGAAAUCCCUGGGCUCAACCCAGGAACUGCGUCCGAUACUGGCAGGCUUGAAUCCGGGAGAGGGAUGUGGAAUUCCAGGUGUAGCGGUGAAAUGCGUAGAUAUCUGGAGGAACACCGGUGGCGAAGGCGGCAUCCUGGACCGGUAUUGACGCUGAGGAGCGAAAGCCAGGGGAGCAAACGGG